rnacentral:rRNA from 1 species
UACGUAGGGUGCAAGCGUUGUUCGGAAUCAUUGGGCGUAAAGCGCGUGUAGGUGGCUUGUUAAGUCGAAUGUGAAAUCCCUGGGCUCAACCGAGGAAGUGCAUUCGAAACUGGCAAGCUAGAGGACGGCAGAGGAAGGUGGAAUUCCAAGUGUAGAGGUGAAAUUCGUAGAUAUUCGGAGGAACACCAGUGGCGAAGGCGGCUCACUGGUCCGGUACUGACGCUGAGGUGCGAAAGCGUGGGGAGCAAACAGG